AGGCCCCCCCGAGGAGGGGAGCCUGUGGCUUAUUUUGACUCACCACGGGGAAACUCCCCCGGCCCGGACACCGCAAGGAUUGACAGAUUGAUAUCUCUUUCUUGAUUCGCGGGAUGGUGGUGCAUGGCCGUUCUUAGUUGAAGGAGCGAUCUGUCUGGUUAAUUCCGAUAACGAACGAGACUCUCGCCUAUUAAAUAGACGCCGCGUUCCCUGCACUCGACGGUCUUCUUAGAGGGACAAGGUGCUUUUAGCACCGUGAAACAAGCGAAUAACAGGUCCGUGAUGCCCUUAUAUGUCCGGGGCCGCACGCGCGCUACAACGAAGGAAGGAACGUGUAACAACCUUGUUCUAACAAAGUGGGGAACCCGUGGAACUUCCCGCAUGAGUGGGAUAGGGGUUUGCAAAUGUGCCUUGCUGCACGAGGAAUUACUAGUCAAUCCUAUCCGAUCUGUAGAAAUGAUUACGGACCUGCCAUUUGCACAGAGCGUCCCCUCUGGACGAUCCAUCGAGUGAUUUACU
rnacentral:rRNA from 1 species